ensembl:lncRNA
GGGUGAGGUGAGGUGGAUAUUUAAGGGUGAGGGCAGCAAAGAAAAGGGAGAAACAAGUUGGUGACACAAAUCUAAGGACGCGUUAAAUUCUUAAGCGCAGGCGCAAACAGGUUUCCUGGCUCUUCCUGAAACGCACGUGCAAAUCUGGGCGAGAUGGGAAAUUUGGACUGUGGCAUCAAAAGCAAGUUUUUUGGACAACCUGGAAUACAUGUGGAUUCCUAUUUGGAACUGGCAGAAGUAUCUUUGAAUGUUGAAGUGAGGAUCGCAAAAGGGUAUUUAAGCCACCAGCGACAUGUGAGUAUUUAAUACUUGAAUUUUUCAUUCAUCUUGUGUCUUUGGGUUUAGAAUAAGAGUUAAACUCAUAUUGGCUUUUUUUUUUCCCCUUUGGUUUCCUCAUUGAGGUUGGGAAAUAUUUUGACUUGAAUUUAAUAUGCAAACUUUCACAGUCAGGUGGGAAAUCUUCUUUUGAAAUCAGAACCCCUUAAGAGAUUUUCAGAUGUUUUCAGUUUUAUCAAACAUAUUUCUGAUAUUCCUCGCCAAUUUGUGUAUUUUAUUUUCGAUAUGAAACCAUAUGAAAAGCCAAUCAUAGGUACUUAUUGAAAACCAAUGAUAUGGAGAGAAUAAGGCAAUAGUUAGACACCUGUAUGUCUUCAGAAUGGAGGAGCUAAUUAUCAAGGUGAAGCCACACAAGUGAGUAAGUUCACUAAAGGAGCCAGACAGGGAGAGAAGGGCAGAGAGUCAAGAACUAGGCUGCUGAGAAUCUAGAAGAAAAGAAACUGGCAAAGGUGACGGAGAAGGAGGAGACUGAGGUAGGGGGAUGCCCAAGAAAACAGUGAAGGAAAUCAAGGAGGUAUCUCAAAAGAAGGAUGGUAAGUCAUCUUAAAAGUUGCAGAACUGCUAAGGAAAAAAAGAGAAUGAAAAAAAGGUAACUGGAUAUGAAAAAAAUGUGAGGUGGGGGUGACUGAUUUUCUGUGCCUCAUUUUUAUUUUGUAUCAAAAGUUUGCCAAAGUUGUUUUACCUAGUGUUGUCAGUUAUCUAUUACUGGAAAAGAAACCAAACCAGAAAUUAGUAGCUUGAAAUUAUUAUUGUGUAUUUGGUUAUAGUUCCAUACAUUGGCGUUUGGGGCUUAUGAUUCUGUACCCAUUUCCAAUGUGUUUUUCUCCACAUCACCUGAUAGACAAUUCUCUGAUACUAGUGGGGUGUCCUACAAUCUGACUCAACUCUGACACUACUUGCCUGAAGAUGGCUUCAUGUGCAGUAGGUUAAGGGCUCAGUUCUGUAAAGUUGCAGCACCCCUUCAGAUGCC